CCAAGCUUUACCUCACAAGAAAAUGGCUUGCCAAGUUGAAUCCUUGUACAAGAAAAACUUCUUCGAACUUGCUCCAGCAUUGCUUCCACUUUCUCAACCAAUUUUUCGAUUACUUGGUCGGCUUUUCCCAUUUCUUUCUCCUUCUCCCUCUUUCUUUGUAUUCUCGAUCCCCCUCUUAUUUUUCUUCUUUUCCAUUUCUUUUUCUUUAUUUUUCCCUCUUCCUCUCUAAGAGGGUGUUUGAUGGUGAGCCCACCCAAUGUUUGAUGGUGGUAAAAUAUAAAACCGGUGGGUUUUACCCCUUAUUUACUUCCCUCGUUUCACGCCCCAUUUUAAAGGUUUAUUCUUUAGCCUCCUCUCUCUCUUCAGUCACGCAUAAUUAAUCAUCACACACUCUCUCUCCUCUCAUUUUCUCCUUUAUUCCGUCGUUUGGUUUCUCUUCUUUGUCUGAUCUCUUCGUUCUCCAUUCGGCUGGAAUGGGUUGUAUGUCUCUUCAUUUCUCCGAUUAGAAUAUGUUGUAUUUCUCCUCAUCUCUUCGUUCUCUGCGUGUAUUUUUUUUUUUUUUUUUCUCUGUACGUCUCUUCGUUUCUUUGAUUUUGAUUGAGUUUUUGGCUUCUCUAUCUCUAUUCUCCGAUUUCGAACGAUUUUGUUGUAGAUAUAGUGAUAUUUCGGUUUUUUUUAUUUUAUGGUAGAUCUAGGUUUUUUUGUUCAGAUCUACUUUUUUUUCUUUUUUUUUUCUUUUUUUUCUUUUUUUUCUUUUUUUUUUUUUUGGGCAAUUACCUUAUUCUACGCUGACGAUUAGUGUUAAAUCUGCCUUGAUUUCCUCAUACAUUUUUUGUAUUACUUUUUUAUUCCGAUUCCUGUUGUCCAAAGGAAAACCUUUAUAUUUUUUUUAUCUAUUUAUGUGUUAUUAGAACCAUCUAUGUUCUUCCUCAUGUAUGUUUGAUAUUCUUCCUUGAAGAUCUUUGAAGUCCUUCCUUCGUUGUUUGAUUUUCUGGUUUGGGACUAUUUAAUGUUCUAUUUUGCGAUUAUAAUUUCGGACUGUCCAAAUCAAACCUUGAUGAUUUCUAUGUUCCUAUUAUCUACUGUUCUACUUGCUUGAAUGAGUUUUUUUUUAAUCAAUUUAUAUGUUAUUAAAUCCGUCUCUGUUCUUCCUCAUGCAUGUUUGAUACUCUUCCUUGAAGAUGUUUGAUGUUCUUCCUUCGUUAUUUAAUUUUCUGCUUAUGGACUAUUGAAUGUUCUAUUUUGCGAUUCCGAUUUCAGACUGUCCAAAGCAAACCUUGAUGAUUUUUAUCUUCUUACUGUCUAUUGUUCCACUUGCUUGAAUGAGUUCCUUUUUUUUAUCAAUUUAUAUGUUAUUAAAUCCGUCUUUGUUCUUCCACAUGUUUGAUUUUCUUCCUUGCAAACCUCUCUAAUUUUUAUAAUCUUCUUCUUCCUCUUACAACUACUUUCUAUUGUUCUGAUUUGCUUCCUGACUGUUUUUCAUACGCUUUUAUCCAUGUUUUCUCUUGCCGCUUCAAUAUUAAAUCAUGUGUCCUCCCUUGCCAUUUUUUCUUUUGCUUUUCUAUGUAAAUUGGAGGCAAGUUAAUUCCUGGUAGGGGAUGUAGACUGUGUUAUUAGAACUUAGGGGGGUCAAUCCACCCAAGAACAAGUCUGCUUUCUUUUCUUUUUUUUUCUGGAGGUCGAUGAUGAUUUCAAACUGUUUUUCCUUAUCUUUUGAGUAUGAUUUAUGUUUUAGUUUUAUUUCCUUUCAACCUGUUUUCUAAGUGAAUGUAUUUUUUGCUUCAUUCCAUUAAAUUUUUUUCAAUAUUCAUACGAAUUUAAUUUUUGUACAUUUUAAAAUUGACUUCAACUUUGAAAUUGUUGAAACUGUUUAUUUAAUUUGCUUGGAGUUAGAUUUGUUCCAAUCAAAUGGCUUUUUGAAAUCCUAAGGCCUUCAUAUUCACAUGAUAUAUUAUAUUGUAUUUAUGUCAUUUUUUAGUUCAAUCACCAAAUUAAUAGUGACCUGACCAUAAUUAAUUUCUUUAUUUUUUCUUGACUAUCUUUAAUAUGGGUUUACUGUUUGAAUUUACUGAGUUAGGUGCACUUAAGUUUACCUAACCUUCCUCACCAACUCUGUUUAUUGUAUGCUAUACUUAUAUCCCAAUCUGUGUUCAUAUUUUUUGAGAUUUCUCCACAAACUCUUUUCUAAACUAUGUUGGUAAGUCCCUCAACCUUCCUUUUUAUUUCAACUUUCUCUUAAAUCUAUUUUUCAUUCUAGUAUGUGCUAUUUGGCUAUUGCAAUAUACUUUGUUUCCUUCUUCCACCUCUAACCUCAACCUAUUCCAUCAAUAUAAGCUAUGCUUCCUUCUUUUCUUAUAAUCGAAUUAAGAUAUGUCGUUAAUAUUUUCUUGUUUUUGUUACGCCGUCAACCGAUUAUUCUGCCCCCUAGUUGUGGACUGUUUUCACCAUUGCUCAAUCGGAACAUAAAAAAAGGGUCCAAACUAAUCGAACAUAUUUUUCGUAACUAGUAUGAGGAUCUACAUACUUCCCCCAUUGCCCUAGUAAGAUGGAGAUUGUUCAGAAGUUGUUUAAAAUUAUGACAAGUAUUAUUGAGUCUCAAAGACAAUUAUUCUUUAUUUUGGCAACGUUGCUUAACAAUAAUAGAAGGAUAAAACAACAACCAGCGAACGUUAGAUAUUGCAUUCGAUAAUUGACGUUCUUCUUCCUUAUUUACGAGAGUGACUUGGCGUGUCAUGAGAGUACUCGAAUGGAUAGAAGGACGUUCAUGAUUUUAUGCAAAAUGAUUAGAACAACGGGAUGUUUGGAGCCAGGUAGAUGUGUUGGUAUUGAAGAGAUGGUGGCAAUGUUCCUACAUAUUCUUGCGCAUGAUGUGAAGAAUAGAGUUGUACAAACAUAUUUUUCGAGAUCUGGCAAGAUGGUUUUGAGAUAUUUCAAUGCAGUUCUUAGAGCAGUAAUACAGCUACAUACAAUGUUGUUGAAAACUGUCGAACCAAUUACAAGUGCAUGUAUCGAUGGACAAUGAAAAUGGUAAAAGAAUUGUUUGGGGGCAUUGAACGGCACGUACAUGAAAGUGAAUGUCAAUGUCGUAGAUCGACCACAAUAUAGGACGAGGAAGGGGAAAUUGCCACAAACGUUCUUGCGGUGUUUGAUCAAAACGGAGAAUUCAUCUUCGUUAUGCUAGGUUGGGAGGGCUCCUCCGCCGACUCUAGGAUCCUAAGGGAUGCAGUUGCGCGAUCGCAUGGAUUGAAGGUUCCAAAGGGGUUCUACUAUCUGUGCGAUGCUGGCUACCCUAAUGCUGAAGGAUUUUUGGCUCCGUAUAGAGGAGAGCACUACCAUCUCUCAGACUGGCGUGGAGCGGGCAACGCACCAACAACACCAAAAGAAUUUUCAACAUGAAGCAUUUGUCAACAAAAAAUACUAUUGAGCGAGCAUUCGGACUUCUGAAGGGCCGAUGGGCAAUUCUUAGGGGCAAAUCCUACUACCCGAUACAAAUCCAAUGUCGAACGAUAACUACAUGUUGCCUGAUUCACAACUUAAUCACAAGGGAGAAGGGGAUUAGUGCUUCACUUGAUGAUUCAUUGUACGAGAAUCAUGCGUCUACUGUUACGGAGGGAGAGAAUAUUGAAUUUAUUGAGACCUCAAACGAAUGGACCAAAUUUAGAGAUGAUUUGGCUGCCGAAAUAUUUUCUCAAUGGCAAAGAUCGUGAUUUUUUUUUUAUGAAAGAUAUAUCAUCUAUAUGUUGAACAAUAUUCCUAUGCUUCAUUUAUUUCAUGUACAUUUUUAAUUCGACUAUUUCAAUCCAUGGUUUUAGUGUUUUAUUUUAUAACAUGUUGCACAAAGCUGUUUAAUUUUCAGUAAUGUCUUUACGAUGUAUGCAUGGAUGAAUUAGAAUGGCAGGCGAUGGAAAACGAUCAAAACAUAUGUGGACAAAAGUCGAUGACGCUGGGUUGGUCAAUGCCCUAACCUCUUUGGUAGAGUCUGGUUGGAAGUCUAACAAUGGAACCUUUCGACCUAGAUAUCUACAACCUUGGAACGCAUAAUGGAAGAGAAGUUUCCAGGGUGUGGCCUAAACUAGAACACUAUCGAAUGUAAGAUUAGAAGUCUGAAGAAACAAUAUUCGGGGUAACAGAGAUGUUAAAUCAAUUAGGGUUCAGAUGGAACGAGGAGUUUAAGUCCGUUCAGAUGGAGAGGGAGAUAUUCGACUUCUGGGUUCGAAGUCAUCCUAACGCGAAGGGUUUGUGGAACAAGCCAUUCCCCCAUUAUGAUGAAUUAUCGAGUGUGUGUGGGAAGGAUAGGGCAACCGGACACUAUGGCGAGCCACCAGUGGUGAUGGCAUCAAAUUUGUUUCGGGAAAUGGAGGACGAUAUUCGGCUAGGGUCACAAGAAUACCCUACCCCUGAUAAUGAACAAACCCAACUGCCUGAGGAUGCAAUAGAAGAAGACCAAAGAGAUAUGUCUAUGAGGAGAGCAAGUAUACCAAAUAUUUCCACCGACAGUCCGAACAUAUCAGCGAAGACAUCAAGAGGGAGUGAGAGGAAACUACUCACCUUCCAGAAUGAAAUGAUCGAGAUCAUGCAAUCAACCGCUGAUAUUCAGUCAACGCACAUGGGCAUACUCGUUGCGUGGCAAUCCGAGAAAUAUAUGAUGGAAUUUGGGUGUCAGAAGGAGGUAGUUCAGGUCAUAUUUGGUAUUGAAGGACCCACUGAGGAUGAUAGAUGUGACCUAAUUGAUAUCAUUUGCACGGAUAUACAAAAACAGACCUCUUUUUAAUUGUACCAGAAGACAAACGACUACAGUAUUGUACAUGCCUACUUGCUUAGAACCACUAGACUGACCACCU